GAUGAACGCUGACAGAAUGCUUAACACAUGCAAGUCAACUGGUGGCGGACGGGUGAGUAACGCGUAAAGAACUUGCCUCACAGGUAGGGACAACAUUUGGAAACGAAUGCUAAUACAUAAUACUGUGAGAGAGCUUUGCGGCCCAUUAUCUAGUUGGAGAGGUAACGGCUCACCAAGGCGAUGAUGGGUAGCCGGCCUGAGAGGGUGAUAGGCCACAAAGGGAUUGAGACGCGACCCGUACUCCAACGGGAGGAAGCAGUGGGGAAUAUUGGACAAUGGACCAAAGUCUGAUCCAACAAUUCGGUGUGCACGAUGAAGUUUUCGGAAUGAAAAGUGCUUUCAGUUGAGAAGCGGUACCAACAGAAGAAGUGACGGCUAACUACGUGCCAGCCGCCGCGGUAAUAC
rnacentral:rRNA from 1 species